UACGUAGGGGGCUAGCGUUGUCCGGAAUCAUUGGGCGUAAAGCGCGCGUAGGCGGCCCGGUAAGUCCGCUGUAAAAGUCAAAGGCUCAACCUUUGAAUGUCAGUGGAUACUGCCAGGCUAGAGUCCGGAAGAGGCGAGUGGAACUCCUGGUGUAGCGGUGGAAUGCGCAGAUAUCAGGAAGAACACCGACGGCGAAGGCAGCUCGCUGGGACGGUACUGACGCUGAGGCGCGAAAGCGUGGGGAGCGAACAGG
rnacentral:rRNA from 1 species